rnacentral:rRNA from 3 species
AAAUUGAAGAGUUUGAUCAUGGCUCAGAUUGAACGCUGGCGGCAGGCCUAACACAUGCAAGUCGAACGGUAGCACAGAGAGCUUGCUCUCGGGUGACG